UACGAAGGGUGCAAGCGUUAAUCGGAAUUACUGGGCGUAAAGCGUGCGCAGGCGGCUUUGCAAGACAGAUGUGAAAUCCCCGGGCUUAACCUGGGAACUGCAUUUGUGACUGCAUGGCUAGAGUGCGGCGGAGGGGGAUGGAAUUCCGCGUGUAGCAGUGAAAUGCGUAGAUAUGCGGAGGAACACCGAUGGCGAAGGCAAUCCCCUGGGCCUGCACUGACGCUCAUGCACGAAAGCGUGGGGAGCAAACAGG
rnacentral:rRNA from 1 species